GCCCUUCUGGUUGAUCCUGCCAGUCAUAUGCUUGUCUUGAGGGUUAAGCCAUGCACGCCUAUGCUCACCCUACACAGAAGGGGAAGCCGCGAACUGCUCAGUAUAUCGGCGAUGAUACACGGGGUGGGCGAUGUUUGUCCGGACACCUGUAGGAAUCCCAGAGCUAAUACGUGCACACGAGUCCUCCUCCUAACAGGGUCUUCCCCGCGGGGAGAGGGCGCAUUUAUUAGGAUCUUGACCGGCGGCGGGUGGUAAACGCUGCCCGCCAGGCUGAGGCGAACUCUGGGUAUGUGACGACCGCUGUUAGCGGCGUGCCCGUUUGCUCGCCGUCCCAUCAAAUUUAGACGGCCCGGGCAAGAGCCCCCCGUGUUGGCUACGGGUGACGGAGGAUCAGGGUUCGAUCCCGGAGAGGGAGCCUGCGAGACGGCUACCACGCUUAAGGGUGGCAGCAGGCGCGCAACUUACCCACUCCCAGCACGGUGAGGUAGUGAAGAUAAAUGUCGGGGCUGGGCUCGCAUGCGAGCCUAGCGGUCGGAUUGAGCGUAGACCAAACACGUGCCGUUGAUGACCUAUCGGAGGGCAAGCCUGGUGCCAGCAGCCGCGGUAAUUCCAGCUCCGAUGGCGUAUGUUGUAGUUGCUGCGUUUAAAACGCUCGUAGUUGGAUCUCUGAGGUGACGGCAGCGACACACCGCGGGUGACGUUGUCCCGGCGAUUAUGCACCGUCGUGGUUUUGGGGAUGGAGCAAGCGGUGCCUCUGGUGCCGCAACCGGACCCUAUCGGCGGAUCUCGUCGGGCAUCGCUUGCCCGUCGCUGCCGGUUUAGUCUCUUUCCGUCUUAAGCCGUGUCGGCCCGGUACGUGGCGUAUCCGGACCGACACUAAGGUACGGGCGGUGUUCUCCCUGAAUCAAUUGGAGUGCUCAAAGCAGGUCGUGCUCGCACAGUUUUGCUCGGAACGAUGUGAUGACGCCACCGUCCCGCAAUGUUAACACGGGCCCGGUCUCCGUGGGGACGGUGGGCGAGGUCUAUAGAGACGGCCGGGGGGCGGCGUACUACCGCGGGAGGGGUGGAAUCCGACGAUCGCGGUGGGACGAACAAGAGCGAAGGCACCGGCCAAGAGCGCCUUCGUUGAUCAUGAACGAAAGUCGGAGGAACGAACGCGAUCAGGUACCGCGGUAGUUCCGACAGUAAACCAUGCCGACCGGUUACGCGGGGACGUCCCCAGUGGGGAAGCCUCGCGAGGCCCCGGAGAAACCAGAGUGCCUGGGCUCCGGGGGGAGUACGGUCGCAAGGCUGAAACUUAAAGGAAUUGACGGAAGGGCGCCACCAGGAGUGGGGUCUGCGGCUUAAUUUGACUCAACACGGGAAAACUCACCCGGUCCGGACACCGCCAGGAUUGACAGACCGAGGCUCUUUCUUGAUUCGGUGGGUGGUGGUGCAUGGCCGUUCUUAGUUGGUGGAGCGAUCUGUCUGGUUAAUUCCGAUAACGAACGAGACUCCGGCCUGCUAGUUAGCGCGGUGGCGUCCGGCGGCCGUCAACCUCCGGCAUCUUCGCGAUGUCGGUGGCCGGUCGCCCGCCACCGCGACCCCGAGGCUUCUUAGAGGGACGGGCGGUGGCCAGCCGCACGAGAAGGAGCGAUAACAGGUCUGUGAUGCCCUUAGACGUCCGGGGCCGCACGCGUGCUACACUGGGGGAGUCAGCGCGGACUACCUCCCGGCCCGAAGGGCGUCGGGAAAGCCGCUGAGUCUCCCCCGUGCUCGGGACCGGGGCUUGACCAUUGUGCCCCGCCAACGAGGAAUUCCCCGUAGGCGCGGGUCAUAACCCCGCGCCGAUUACGUCCCUGCCCUUUGUACACACCGCCCGUCGCUACCAUCGGUGAACGGUCUAGCGAGGGCCUCGGACCGGCGCGGAGUCCUCCCUUUACCGGGUGGGGCUCCUCGCCGGGAAGACGCCCGAACUCGGUCGCUCGGAGAUAGUAAAAGUCGUAACAAGGUUUCCGUAGGUGAACCUGCGGAAGGAUCAA
rnacentral:rRNA from 2 species